rnacentral:rRNA from 1 species
CUAGCGGCAGACGGGUGAGUAACAUGUGGGAAUCUGCCUUUUGGUUCGGAACAACACGGGGAAACCUGUGCUAAUACCGGAUAAGUCCUUACGGAGAAAGUUUUAAUGCCAAAAGAUGAGCCCGCAUUUGAUUAGCUAGUUGGUGAGGUAAAAGCUUACCAAGGCGACAAUCAAUAGCUGAUUUGAGAGGACGAUCAGCCACACUGGAACUGAGACACGGUCCAGACUCC